UACGUAGGGGGCGAGCGUUGUCCGGAUUUAUUGGGCGUAAAGAGCGUGUAGGCGGCCAGGUAGGUCCGUUGUGAAAACUCGAGGCUCAACCUCGAGACGUCGAUGGAAACCAUCUGGCUAGAGUCCGGAAGAGGAGAGUGGAAUUCCUGGUGUAGCGGUGAAAUGCGUAGAUAUCGGGAGGAACACCAGUGGCGAAGGCGACUUCCUGGCCUGUUCUUGACGCUGAGGCGCGAAAGCUAGGGGAGCAAACGGG
rnacentral:rRNA from 1 species